rnacentral:rRNA from 1 species
UACGUAGGGCGCAAGUGUUGUCCGGAAUUAUUGGGCGUAAAGAGCUUGUAGGCGGUUUGUCGCGUCUGCUGUGAAAAUCCGGGGCUCAACCCCGGACUUGCAGUGGGUACGGGCAGACUAGAGUGUGGUAGGGGAGACUGGAAUUCCUGGUGUAGCGGUGGAAUGCGCAGAUAUCAGGAGGAACACCGAUGGCGAAGGCAGGUCUCUGGGCCACUACUGACGCUGAGAAGCGAAAGCAUGGGGAGCGAACAGG